ensembl:lncRNA
CCAACUCUCCUCUUUUCCCAGACUUCCUCAUCUCAGUAAAUGACACUAGCAUAUAGUCAGUUGCUCAAGGCAAAAAUCAGGAGUCAGAUUUUGAUUUCCAUUCCCUUUACCUUACACUCUCACAACAUCCUGCCAAUUCUACCUUCAAAAUAUAUUUCUAGUUUGUCCAUUUCUCUCCCUCUUCUCCAAUCUAUUACCUUAGUUCACUCCAUCAAUAUCUCUCAUCUAAGACUAUUGAAAUAAAUUCCUAACUGGGCUCCCAGUUUCUAUUCUUAUCAUCUAGUUUCACAUAACAGAAGAAUGACUUUAUUUAAUCAUUAAUCAAAUUGUGUUAUUCCACUGCUUAAAACUUUCCAGUAUACUUCUUUUCCUUUAUACUUACCAUAAAAUUUUAUCUCUUUUUAGUAACCUAAAACCCUAGAAAGUUUGACUUAUAAUUUAUAAUAUUGGUCAAGAGUUUCUCUGUGACCAAUAUUACCCUAGAUUAGUGGGCUUCUGCCACACUCAGAUUCACUAUAUGAAAUAUGUCUCGCCUUACAAGCUUUAAACUUGCUGUUCCUUCUCUCUGGAACACUCCAGUCUCAGAUCUUUGUAUGGCUGCUGCCUUUAUGCAUUUUGUGUCUCAGCUUAAAUGCCACCUCUUCAGCGACUUCUCCGCAACUACCUUAUAUAAAACAUCCUUCAAGUUCAUUACUCUCUGUCAUUACAUCCUGUUUGCUUUUGGAAUUGUUUUCUUGCAUUCUGCCUCUCUUCUUCAAUAGAUCAUUAGCUCCAGAACAGCAGGGACCUUCCCUAACUUCAUCAUUAUUAUAUCCCCAGCUGUGUGACCUGAGCCAUCUCAUUCUCCUUUCUAACCUUUAUUAUCCAUCCCACCUUUAGGAUGACAUCUUGGGAUUAGGUGCUCACUACAGACUAGUUCUGACAUUUUUCGCAUCCACGGUGCCAAGGAGACUUUAGAGCUCAGGGCUUCCAAGACACUGACAUUUCUAAAUGUAUUUUUCAAAUGCAGUAAACCCCCUUGCACAGCCCAGUGGGGAGGUCAUGGAGAGCCAGAAAGAAGGAGGUCUGAUGAGCUGAAUUACAGUUUCUUUGUCAUGC